GACGUAGGGCGCGAGCGUUGUCCGGAUUUAUUGGGCCUAAAGCAUCCGUAGCCGGUCCUACAAGUCUUCCGUUAAAUCCACCUGCUCAACAGAUGGGCUGCGGAAGAUACUAUAAGACUAGGAGGCAGGAGAGGCAAGCGGUACUCAGUGGGUAGGGGUAAAAUCCGUUGAUCCAUUGAAGACCACCAGUGGCGAAGGCGGCUUGCCAGAAUGCGCUCGACGGUGAGGGAUGAAAGCUGGGGGAGCAAACCGG
rnacentral:rRNA from 1 species